rnacentral:tRNA from 1 species
ACGUCCUUAGUUCAGAGGUAGAACGUUGGUUUCCAAAACCAAAUGUCGUGGGUUCAAUUCCUACAGGGCGUG